rnacentral:rRNA from 1 species
GUGGGGAAUCUUGCGCAAUGGGCGAAAGCCUGACGCAGCAACGCCGCGUGGGGGAUGAAGGCUCUCGGGUUGUAAACCCCUUUCAGCAGGGACGAAUCAAGACGGUACCUGCAGAAGAAGCCCCGGCUAACUACGUGCCAGCAGCCGCGGUAACACGUAGGGGGCAAGCGUUGUCCGGAUUUAUUGGGCGUAAAGAGCUCGUAGGUGGCUGAGUAAGUCGGAUGUCAAAUCCCCAGGCUCAACCUGGGAUCCCAUCCGAUACUGCUCUGACUAGAGUCCGGUAGGGGAGCGUGGAAUUCCUGGUGUAGCGGUGAAAUGCGCAGAUAUCAGGAGGAACACCAGCGGCGAAGGCGGCGCUCUGGGCCGGUACUGACACUGAGGAGCGAAAGCGUGGGUAGCAAACAGGAUUAGAAACCCUAGUAGUCC